GAUCCUGGCUCAGGAUGAACGCCAGCUACAGGCUUAACACAUGCAAGUCGAGGGGAAACGACAUCGAAAGCUUGCUUUUGAUAGGCGUCGACCGGCGCACGGGUGAGUAACGCGUAUCCAACCUGCCCAUCACUUGGGAAUAACCUUGCGAAAGUAAGACUAAUGCCCAAUGAUAUCCCACGAAGGCAUCCGAAUGGGAUUAAAGAUUUAUCGGUGAUGGAUGGGGAUGCGU
rnacentral:rRNA from 1 species